GGACAUAGUGAUCCGGUGGUUCUGAAUGGAAGGGCCAUCGCUCAACGGAUAAAAGGUACUCCGGGGAUAACAGGCUGAUUCCGCCCAAGAGUUCAUAUCGACGGCGGAGUUUGGCACCGCGAUGUCGGCUCAUCACAUCCUGGGGCUGUAGUCGGUCCCAAGGGUAUGGCUGUUCGCCAUUUAAAGUGGUACGUGAGCUGGGUUUAAAACGUCGUGAGACAGUUUGGUCCCUAUCUGCAGUGGGCGUUGGAAGUUUGACGGGGGCUGCUCCUAGUACGAGAGGACCGGAGUGGACGAACCUCUGGUGUACCGGUUGUGACGCCAGUCGCAUCGCCGGGUAGCUAAGUUCGGAAGAGAUAAACGCUGAAAGCAUCUAAGCGUGAAACUCGCCUGAAGAUG
rnacentral:rRNA from 1 species